UACGUAGGGUGCAAGCGUUGUCCGGAAUUAUUGGGAGUAAAGAGCUCGUAGGCGGUCUGUCACGUCGGGAGUGAAAACUCGGGGCUCAACCCCGAGCCUGCUUCCGAUACGGGCAGACUAGAGGUAUGCAGGGGAGAAUGGAAUUCCUGGUGUAGCGGUGAAAUGCGCAGAUAUCAGGAGGAACACCGGUGGCGAAGGCGGUUCUCUGGGCAUUACCUGACGCUGAGGAGCGAAAGUGUGGGGAGCGAACAGG
rnacentral:rRNA from 1 species